CUUGUGAAUAUAUUUACAAGCCAACAGUUUCUUUUUGUGGAUUUUCCAACGGCUGCGUCAGUGAACUGCACGUAAGAAUACAGCUCGCUCUAAGAAGCAACCAACACAGGAAAACAACAUUUAUCCCUCUGUUAAUGUUAAGGAUGUCUGCAGUGCUGACUCUAUGGCCUGGGUGUUCCCAAAAUAUUCACAUUCUGCUACACUCUGAUGAAUCUGCUGCUUUAAAGUCAACCCAUUGCAAGAAGUAAUGGCUUGGACACAGAGGAUAUAUUAUAGGAAUAAAGAAAGUGGCUGAUGAUAUCCUUUCUAACUACAACCACUAAACCAGAGAGAGACUGUACAAUGCAGCACACAGCUCUGCAUCUGCAUUCUUAUGAUAAUUGAGAGAGCUUGGGUAAUGAACGCAAUGGUGAAAAUAAUAAAGAUCAAAGAUACAACAUGUUUAAUGAGAA